rnacentral:lncRNA from 10 species
UGUGUUUUAUACUACAUGAAGUUUUCAAGCUAGGAGUAACCUCAGGUCUCUUAUUCUGGUGUUCUUCCUACCUCAAUUUUACAGUGAGGCCCAGAGGAGAGGUGACUUAGCAAAGUUACCUAGUAAGUCAUUCUCAGAAGAAAUACUGAGUCUCAGUACCUGAAACCUGAACUUUGGCCUGGGAGCAAAGUGAUGCUGUAG